rnacentral:other from 1 species
AUUUCCCUAUGCUGCUCGUGCUUGGGAUGCAUGCCUUUCCUCCGAUAAGUUCGAUUACGGGAGCCGGAAUUGCUCGCGCGGCCAACGCCAGGCCUUCACUGGAAGACGGAAGCACGCGGCAAGGUUCCCACUUAUGUGUAAAGUGGUCGAAAGGCCCCAUUCCCACACGGCAGCACGGGGAAGCU